rnacentral:ncRNA from 1 species
GUAAAUGCAAUGAAGAGGAAUAUUAGAUGUCUACCGGAGUCAGAGAGUUAUCGGUUGGUGUGAGAUAACGGAAGGGAAGCAUUGAACUCGCCUUGGAGCUGCUAUCUGAAAAAAGCAUGACAUAUAAGAUUGUUUUGAGUAGGCGUAGCCGGGAGCCAGCCGUUAUAGUGGACAGAAUAUAAGGUUUUUGCCCGUAUUCAGUGAGUGCACGAGGAUUUUCGUGAAAUAAGAGUGGUAUCGCGUGAGAUUAUGGUCUUUCGUCUCUUAG